GGGGCCCACAACCACACAUAGCUAAUUUUUGUAUUUUUAGUAGAGAUGGGGUUUCACCAUGUUGGUCAGGCUGGUCUCGAACUCCUGACCUCAGGGGAUCCACCCGUCUCGGUCUCCCAAAGGGCUGGGGUUACAGACGUGAGCCACCACGCCUGCCUCAUGUGAUUUCAUCUUGCCUCAGGAACUCCACAGUCAGUUGCUCUCCCUGGAAGCAGUAUGGCCAAAAGGAGGAAGAAGAGUGUCUCUCGGAUUUCAGCUUGGAGGAGGGAGUUCAGGCUGCCAGAAUUGGACUAGCACUUCUGAAUAUCCCGAGAUGUCAGCUCCGCCUCAGGAAUCGACUGAGACUUUGACCGAGACUUUGGUUCCAUUCCUGGACACGGAUUCAGCUGGAGAGCUGCCCCCGGGGCCAGAGCAGUUAGCGGCUGCACACCAGGAUCUGAAUGACUCCCAGAGGUGGUUCCAAUGCUGAACUGGGAUCAGAAUCAGACCCUAGCUCGGCCUCCUCGCCUCAAAAGAUAUGAACUGUGUUUCUUCACAGAAAUUUCCAAGGAAACUAUAUUUCUUACAUUGGUGAAGAUAUAUGGAAAGCAUACAGUUGGACUGAGAAACUGUGAGUAUAUUCUCUCCAAAUAUGACAAAAAACUAACUGCAUUGUAAGAUCCUUCCUGGUAUAGAAUUUUGAGGUCAGUACCUCUGAGAAAACAUGUUUCCCCUCCAUACCCCAAUCAACCUCUGUUGAUUGCAAUCCUGUGGUUAUUUUAAAAUUAAAUUUGGUAGGCUCUCUUUAAAAUAAGAGUCAAUUUAAAUUUAUUUUUUAUUAUACAAAUAAUACUUUGUUAUAUAUACAUAUAUAUAUAUUUUUUCAGAGACGGGAUCUUACUGUGUUCCCCAGGCUGGAGUGCAGUGGUGCAAUCAUGACUCACUGCAGCCUCCACCUCCCAGGCUCAAGAGAUCCUCCCAUCUCAGCUUCCCAAGUAGCUGGGACCACAGGUACAUGCUACCAUGCCCACCUAAUUUUUUAUUUUUUGUAGAGACAGGGUCUCCCUAUAUUGCUUAGGCUGGUCUCAAACUCCUGGGCUCAAGUGAUCCUCCCACCUUGGCCUCCCAAAGUGCUGGGAUUACAGGCAUUUUGUAAUCCCAGCCCUCAGCCCCAUCCCCAGCCCAUGAUUACAUUCUUAAUGUAUAAAAAUGAAAUAACAGCUAUAACGAAAACCCUCCUUGUGUCCUACUCCCUCAUC
rnacentral:lncRNA from 1 species